rnacentral:rRNA from 1 species
AAUAGAUACCCGGGUAGUCCACGCCGUAAACGAUGUCGACUUGGAGGUUGUUCCCUUGAGGAGUGGCUUCCGGAGCUAACGCGUUAAGUCGACCGCCUGGGGAGUACGGCCGCAAGGUUAAAACUCAAAUGAAUUGACGGGGGCCCGCACAAGCGGUGGAGCAUGUGGUUUAAUUUGAUGCAACGCGAAGAACCUUACCUACUCUUGACAUCCACGGAACUUUUCAGAGAUGAAUUGGUGCCUUCGGGAACCGUGAGACAGGUGCUGCAUGGCUGUCGUCAGCUCGUGUUGUGAAAUGUUGGGUUAAGUCCCGCAACGAGCGCAACCCUUAUCCUUUGUUGCCAGCGGUUAGGCCGGGAACUCAAAGGAGACUGCCAGUGAUAAACUGGAGGAAGGUGGGGAUGACGUCAAAGUCAUCAUGGCCCUUACGAGUAGGGCUACACACGUGCUACAAUGGCGCAUACAAAGAGAAGCGACCUCGCGAGAGCAAGCGGACCUCAUAAAAGUGCGUCGUAGUCCGGAUUGGAGUCUGCAACUCGACUCC